rnacentral:rRNA from 1 species
AUUGAACGCUGGCGGCAUGCCUUACACAUGCAAGUCGAACGGCAGCGGGGACUUCGGUCCGCCGGCGAGUGGCGAACGGGUGAGUAAAGUAUCGGAACGUACCUUUCAGUGGGGGAUAACGUAGCGAAAGUUACGCAAUACCGCAUAUUCUGUGAGCAGGAAAGCAGGGGAUCGCAAGACCUUGCGCUGAUUGAGCGGCCGAUAUCAGAUUAGCUAGUUGGUGAGGUAAAGGCUCACCAAGGCGACGAUCUGUAGCGGGUCUGAGAGGAUGAUCCGCCACACUGGAACUGAGACACGGUCCAGACUCCUACGGGAGGCAGCAGUGGGGAAUUUUGGACAAUGGGGGCGAACCCUGAUCCAGCCAUGCCGCGUGAGUGAAGAAGGCCUCGGUU